rnacentral:tRNA from 1 species
UGGCCCAUCGUCUAAUGGCAGGACAAGUGAUUUUGGAUCACUCGGUCGGGGUUCGAGUCCCUGUGGGCCAGCCA